GUAGGGAAUCUUCGGCAAUGGACGAAAGUCUGACCGAGCAACGCCGCGUGAGUGAAGAAGGUUUUCGGAUCGUAAAACUCUGUUGGUAGAGAAGAACGUUGGUGAGAGUGGAAAGCUCAUCAAGUGACGGUAACUACCCAGAAAGGGACGGCUAACUACGUGCCAGCAGCCGCGGUAAUACGUAGGUCCCGAGCGUUGUCCGGAUUUAUUGGGCGUAAAGCGAGCGCAGGUGGUUUAUUAAGUCUGGUGUAAAAGGCAGUGGCUCAACCAUUGUAUGCAUUGGAAACUGGUAGACUUGAGUGCAGGAGAGGAGAGUGGAAUUCCAUGUGUAGCGGUGAAAUGCGUAGAUAUAUGGAGGAACACCGGUGGCGAAAGCGGCUCUCUGGCCUGUAACUGACACUGAGGCUCGAAAGCGUGGGGAGCAAACAGGA
rnacentral:rRNA from 1 species